rnacentral:rRNA from 1 species
UAAGAAUCUGCCCUAUAGUGAGGAAUACCCUUGAGAAAUUGAGGUUAAUACUGCAUAAGUCCCUGCGGGGAGAAAGGCGUCUUUUAUGUCGCCGCUAUAGGAUGAGCUUGCGGACUAUCAGCUUGUUGGUGAGGUAAAGGCUCACCAAGGCUAUGACGGUUAACCGGCCUGAGAGGGUGUACGGUCACACAGGCACUGAGAUACGGGCCUGACUCCUACGGGNGGCAG